rnacentral:rRNA from 1 species
CCCUUAGAUGUCCUGGGCCGCACGCGCGCUACACUGAUGCAUUCAACGAGUUUUACCUUGGCCGAGAGGCCUGGGCAAUCUUUUAAACCUGCAUCGUGAUAGGGAUAGAUUAUUGCAAUUAUUAAUCUUGAACGAGGAAUUCCUAGUAAACGCAAAUCAUCAAUUUGCAUUGAUUACGUCCCUGCCCUUUGUACACACCGCCCGUCGCUCCUACCGAUUGGGUGUGCUGGUGAAAUGUUCGGAUCGGCCGUUUGUCGCGGUUUCCGCGUCAUGUGGCUGAGAAGUUCAUUAAACCCUCCCACCUAGAGGAAGGAGAAGUCGUAACA